AGGGUAUGGUUCUCUUUCUUCUCUUCCUUAAAUUACAAUUGUUUAAAAUGCAUGGUCUCUUUUUUUCCCCCCUUUUUUUGUCCCUCUGGGUUCACAUGCUGCUUUAUAACAUUACACUUUGUUGAAGUAAAUGAAAUUAUUUGAUCUGAGUUUGCCUUUACUAUAAUUCAAAAGCAAAGAUAUAGGGCCUGCAUGAAAGAAAUACAUUGUCUUUCAUUCCAUUAUUAUUUUCCUUGAUCUGAAUCAGUUCACAAUAAAAAAAGAAAAACAUGCUGUUUUGUAUGUAUCCAGGAUAUCGAGGUGAUAAAAAAGAAGCUUGAAGAACUAGAGGGCAAGUUUAAUCCUAAGCAAAUUGUUGUUGUAACAGAAAAGGUGAGUGGAAUUGAAAUACUGGCAGAUAGCUUAAGUACAUUCAUGGUAGAUUUGAUUUCUCUAUUUCGCAAUUUUGCCUUUUCAGAGUGGGGCAGUAUAAGUGUGAAGUAAACAAGCUGGAAUAUUGUGAACCUUUGAAAAACAAAUGUUUAGUUAUGAGCAUAGAGUUGAAC
rnacentral:lncRNA from 1 species